rnacentral:rRNA from 1 species
CAUUAUUGAAUAAACUUGCACAGGCUGUUGCUGGCCCUCAAGGGUAUGUGCACGCUUGUCAUCUUUAUCUCUCCAACUGUGCACAUAUUGUAGACCUGGAGUCCCUGUUGAUUCAUUUCGAGUUGGGACUGCUGUGCUUUGUACUUCAGAGUCAGCUUUGCCUUUUUCAUACCCAGGUCUAUGUCAUUUUCACAACCUCUUGAAUGUGUUUAGAAUGUUGAAUCAGGUCUUUUUGUACCUAUAAAGUUAAAUAUACAACUUUCAGCAACGGAUCUCUUGGCUCUCGCAUCGAUGAAGAACGCAGCGAAAUGCGAUAAGUAAUGUGAAUUGCAGAAUUCAGUGAAUCAUCGAAUCUUUGAACGCAUCUUGCGCUCCUUGGUACUCCGAGGAGCAUGCCUGUUUGAGUGUCAUUUAAAUUCUCAACCACAUCAAUUUAUUUGGUGAGGCUUGGAUGUGGGGGUCUUUUUGCGGGCUUCUGUAAAUUUGAAGUCGGCUCCCCUAAAAUGCAUUAGUGGUAUCUGAGCAGAAGAAACUACUACAGGUGUGAUAAUUAUCUACGCCUCAGUAUCCUGCACAAUCAGAUUGUGCUGCUUCUAACGAGUGGAGAUUCCUUUUGGGGGACCACAUUUGUUGAAUUUGACCUCAAAUCAGGUAGGACUACCCGCUGAACUUAA